rnacentral:rRNA from 1 species
AACUAACAAGGAUUCCCCUAGUAACUGCGAGUGAAGCGGGAAAAGCUCAAAUUUAAAAUCUGGCAGUCUUUGGCUGUCCGAGUUGUAAUCUAGAGAAGCAUUAUCCGCGUUGGACCGUGUACAAGUCUCCUGGAAUGGAGCGUCAUAGAGGGUGAGAAUCCCGUCUUUGACACGGACUGCCAGGGCUUUGUGAUGUGCUCUCAAAGAGUCGAGUUGUUUGGGAAUGCAGCUCAAAAUGGGUGGUAAAUUCCAUCUAAAGCUAAAUAUUGGCGAGAGACCGAUAGCGAACAAGUACCGUGAGGGAAAGAUGAAAAGAACUUUGGAAAGAGAGUUAAACAGUACGUGAAAUUGCUGAAAGGGAAACGCUUGAAGUCAGUCGCGUUGGCCAGGGAUCAACCUUGCUUUCUUUGCUUGGCUAAUUUUCUGGUCAAUGGGUCAGCAUCAAUUUUGACUGGUGGAAAAAGUUCAAGGGAAUGUGGCAUCUUCAGAUGUGUUAUAACCUUUGUUCACAUACAUCAGUUGGGAUUGAGGAACUCAGCAUGCCGAAAGGCCGGGUUUUUAACCACGUACGUGCUUAGGAUGUUGGCAUAAUGGCUUUAAUCGACCCGUCUUGAAACACGGACCAAGGAGUCUAACAUGCCUGCGAGUGUUUUGGUGAAAAACCAGAGCGCGUAAUGAAAGUGAAAGUUGAGAUCCCUGUCGUGGGGAGCAUUGACGCCCAGAUCUGACCUUUUGUGACGAUUCUGCGGUAGAGCAUGUAUGUUGGGACCCGAAAGAUGGUGAACUAUGCCUGAAUAGGGUGAAGCCAGAGGAAACUCUGGUGGAGGCUCGUAGCGAUUCUGACGUGCAAAUCGAUCGUCAAAUUUGGGUAUAGGGGCGAAAGACUAAUCGAACCAACU